rnacentral:rRNA from 1 species
AUUGAACGCUGGCGGCAGGCCUAACACAUGCAAGUCGAGCGGAUGAAGGGAGCUUGCUCCUGGAUUCAGCGGCGGACGGGUGAGUAAUGCCUAGGAAUCUGCCUGGUAGUGGGGGAUAACGUCCGGAAACGGGCGCUAAUACCGCACACGUCCUGAGGGAGAAAGUGGGGGAUCUUCGGACCUCACGCUAUCAGAUGAGCCUAGGUCGGAUUAGCUAGUUGGUGGGGUAAAGGCCUACCAAGGCGACGAUCCGUAACUGGUCUGAGAGGAUGAUCAGUCACACUGGAACUGAGACACGGUCCAGACUCCUACGGGAGGCAGCAGUGGAGAAUAUUGGACGAUGGGCGAAAGCCUGAUCCAGCCAUGCCGCGUGUGUGAAGAAGGUCUUCGGAUUGUAAAGCACUUUAAGUUGGGAGGAAGGGAAGUAAGUUAAUGCCUUGCUGUUUUGACGUUACCAACAGAAUAAGCACCGGCUAACUUCGUG